rnacentral:rRNA from 1 species
AUUGAACGCUGGCGGCAGGCCUAACACAUGCAAGUCGAGCGGAUGAAGAGAGCUUGCUCUCUGAUUCAGCGGCGGACGGGUGAGUAAUGCCUAGGAAUCUGCCUGGUAGUGGGGGACAACGUUUCGAAAGGAACGCUAAUACCGCAUACGUCCUACGGGAGAAAGUGGGGGAUCUUCGGACCUCACGCUAUCAGAUGAGCCUAGGUACGAUUAGCUAGUUGGUGAGGUAAAGGCUCACCAAGGCGACGAUCGUUAACUGGUCUGAGAGGAUGAUCAGUCACACUGGAACUGAGACACGGUCCAGACUCCUACGGGAGGCAGCAGUGGGGAAUAUUGGACAAUGGGCGAAAGCCUGAUCCAGCCAUGCCGCGUGUGUGAAGAAGGUCUUCGGAUUGUAAAGCACUUUAAGUUGGGAGGAAGGGCAGUAAGUUAAUACCUUGCUGUUUUGACGUUACCAACAGAAUAAGCACCGGCUAACUUCGUGCCAGCAGCCGCCGUAAGAC